GAGAGAGAGAGGCAGACAGAAUAUUCCGUAAGUGCAUGUGUACACACUUAUGAUCAGUAGAUGCAGCAUUUUGAUGCGAAUUGACGUGUUUUCUUCUCGGCGCUCCGUAUUGACUGUGAUUUAUAUUUAAAUUAUUGCAAAUCUAUUAAUUAAUCCGGAAAAGUGUUUUAUCUGCAACUUUUGUGAAUUAAGCUCAUAAAUUUGUGUACAUUGCUUGCCAUUCAAUUGCAUGGAUAAGCAGUUGUUGCCCAUGGAUCAAAAUAAUAAUCAGUAGCCUUGAUAUUGAACAAAACUGGAAGUGACAAUUGGCAAUUUUUAACGGCUUUCAUGAAUUCCAAAUAAUGUCUUGCCAAAAUCGAAGCCGAACCUGCCACGACCAGGGACAACAAAAUAUUCAGUAUCGUUGGGAUCGAUAUAUUCUAGGAUCGGCUCUAAAAUCGAACAAUUUGUCUUAUCUUUCCAAAAUCGGAUGUUCUUCGUAAUUGUUAUUUAAACUACGCCCACGGACAAUCAAGAAGUUAAUGCUGUCAUUGGUACCUAGAUGACCUAUAUAUCCUUGGUUAUUCAAUACCAAGGAUAUAGUCCUAGCGAACCUAAAGGCAUGCGUUUUCCAAAAAUAUGUGUUUUUUACAGCCUUCCUGGAUGGUUCCUAGUUGACUAUCAUAUCCUUGGUGAUACCAUGCCAUCGAUAUAGUCCUUGGCAACCUAAAGGAUCAGAUCCCUGCAAAAUUUGCAUUGAAAUGGUCCAAAAAUAUGUAUGCUUUUUGUUUCAGGAGCCCCUGUAAAUGAGCUGCAGCUGCAGCUGCUAGUUAACAUACGCCUUACAGCACUCAUUUAACAUUACCUGUAGCUUAACAUCACUCAUUUAAAUGAGUUACAUUUUUGCCCUUGCGCGUAUGCAACGAAAAUUUUUAUUCAAAAAUUUUUGUCGACCUUCUGAGCAUUUCUGUUCGCCUGGUACUUCAGCAGAAUUUUAGUGCAAAUUUGGGACCCGGCCGCAGAUUAGGGCCGCCCUUUUGGGUAUGCAACAUAUUUGUAAAGACCGUUAAUUUUUGAAUCCCAUAUCCCUUGGGCAGUAGAAAAACAGGUUUUUUGUUUAAAAAUAGUAUUUAAUUAUUUAUUUUUGUUAAAUUUAACAGAUUUGUUGCUUUUUACGUGUAUUUUCGAUUGUAACUUAAAAUAAAUAUAUAUGGCUUAAUAUAUGUCCGAUCCUGGAA